rnacentral:rRNA from 1 species
AUGGGCUGUCGUCAGCUCGUGUCGUGAGAUGUUCGGUUAAGUCCGCUAACGAGCGCAACCCUCGUCGUAUGUUAUAUGUGUCAUACGAGACUGCCGGUAAAAGCCGGAGGAAGGUGAGGAUGAUGUCAAGUCAGCAUGACCUUUAUAUCCAGGGCUACACACACGCUACAAUGGUCUGUACAAUGGGGUAGCCAAGCCGCGAGGCGGAGGCCAAUCCUGAAAGCAGGCCUCAGUUCAGAUUGCAGUCUGCAACUCGACUGCAUGAAGCCGGAGUUGCUGGUAACCGCAGGUCAGCAAUACUGCGGUGAAUACGUUCCCGGGUCUU